GUUUAGUCACUCUGUUUAGCCUCCUGUAGCCAACGCUGAAACGUAACGUUCAGUCUUUCUUCUUUACGAGGACGACUGGCGAUGACCAGGGACUUUUGGAAGGCUGCAUAACAUCGUACUGAAGCAUCUCUUCCACUUGCUGGCUAUUCACUCGGUUCUGCCUGUUGACGAACAUGAAGCUCAUCUCUGCCAUCGUGCUACUGGUGAUUCUCACAGGCUUUCUGGGCAGGGCGUCUGUGAAGACGAAAGGAAGACGACUAUAUCGAACAGGAUAUGCCUAUGGCUGUUGGUUGUUCGGGACGAUAUGCAACAGCCACUGUAAAGGCCAAGGAUACUCUCAAGGCUACUGCGAUGGACCACACCGUGGUACAUGCUAUUGCUCUGGGUAUAAACAGUGAUCAAGCGCCGACUGCACAUAGAUAUUAACAGUAUGCAGAAACCCGCCAAGUGUUUCCUUAUAUCCAUUCGUGCGUUUGCGGUGUUUUAAGCGAAUAAAUCUCUAUGCCUAUUGCCGCUAAUAAAACCUCUGAGGAGCGACUCCAAUUGUGCGGGCCAGCGCAGUGCGUCAUACAUCUUGCUCUCUCGCGGAAACUGCUCAAGGAUUACGCUGUAUUCAUUCAUUGUAUUAUGGUGCAUUAGCCACAGAAAGCUCUGCGCCUAUUGCCGGUAAGGGAUUGUAGGAGUAGCGACUCUAAAUUUGUGGUCCUGCACAGUUCGCGAGUCAUCUUGUGGUCAGCGCGGUUCGUGUUUAGCAAACCGCUUUCUCGUACCACGGUCGUUAGAUGUAAGCGUGGGUGGUUUCUCACCCUAAAAGCGGCUAUGAUCCUACAGUAAAGGGACGAAGUUUGCUCGCAGCGGUAUGGAAUGAAUCCGUGUUCCAAUUAAUCCAUUAUGUGAUAUGUUUGACUUGUUUGUUUAGCGUGUUCUUCCGCU
rnacentral:lncRNA from 1 species